UAAAGAAUGGUCUGCUUUUAGCCUAGAAACACUGGAUUCAGCACUGGAUUUUGAUUAUGGUACAGAUUAUGUAACCAGACUGACAGAGAAGUUCCACGCUUUUCUAAAACAAACAGACGAGUCAGCAACUGCGAGUAUUUGUCAGCAGUACAAGGAUUUCAAGUUCACCGUCAAGGAACAACGAAAGAUGGGGGCGCUGCAGACAUUUGGCGAGAUGGUAACCUGGACACUAAAAAGUCAGGAUUUCACUGAGCUUGCACAGUUGAUUGACAUUUGCGGGACAUUCCAAGCGUCUAGUGCAGACUGUGAGCGCGGAUUCAGUCUCAUAAAUCGUAUCAAGACAAAUUCACGCAACCGCCUGCAGACCGCCCACUUGGAUCAGUUUAUGAGAAUCCGGACUACACAAACAGUGGGCCCUAUAAAUCUGGACAAGGUCUACAAUCACUGGAAAGGAGACAAGGACAGACGGGAAAGGUUUUAAGAUGCUGUUUUAAGAGAGGUUCUAAUCUCCACAGACCUGCACAGCCAGUCAAGAAAGGACUAAAGAGAUGCUGUUUUGGGAGAGGUUCUAAUCGUCACAGACCUGCACAUUCAAGAAAGGACUGAAGAAGCACUAUGUUGUUUGUAUAUGGUUUAAAUGAAAUGUGGUUUAAUAAAAUGUG